rnacentral:rRNA from 1 species
AGUGAACGCUGGCGGUAGGCCUAACACAUGCAAGUCGAACGGCAGCACAGAGGAGCUUGCUCCUUGGGUGGCGAGUGGCGGACGGGUGAGGAAUACAUCGGAAUCUACUCUGUCGUGGGGGAUAACGUAGGGAAACUUACGCUAAUACCGCAUACGACCUACGGGUGAAAGCAGGGGAUCUUCGGACCUUGCGCGAUUGAAUGAGUCGAUGUCGGAUUAGCUAGUUGGCGGGGUAAAGGCCCACCAAGGCGACGAUCCGUAGCUGGUAUGAGAGGAUGAUCAGCCACACUGGAACUGAGACACGGUCCAGACUCCUACGGGAGGCAGCAGUGGGGAGUAUUGGACAAUGGGCGCAAGCAUGAUCCAGCCAUACCGCGUGGGUGAAGAAGGCCUUCGGGUUGUAAAGCCCUUUUGUUGGGAAAGAAAUCCAUCUGGUUAAUACCCGGGUGGGAUGACGGUACCCAAAGAAUAAGCACCGGCUAACUUCGUGCCAGCCGCCGCAGUAA